rnacentral:rRNA from 1 species
UACGGGGGGGGGUAAGCGUUGUUCGGAAUUACUGGGCGUAAAGGGCUCGUAGGCGGCCAACUAAGUCAGACGUGAAAUCCCCAGGCUCAACCUGGGAACUGCGUCUGAUACUGGAUGGCUUGAAUCCGGGAGAGGGAUGCAGAAUUCCAGGUGUAGCGGUGAAAUGCGUAGAUAUCUGGAGGAACACCGGUGGCGAAGGCGGCAUCCUGGACCGACACUGACGCUGAGGAGCGAAAGCCAGGGGAGCAAACGGG